GGUCCGAUCGUCUAGGGGUUAGGACGCCAGGUUUUCAUCCUGGUAACCGGGGUUCGAUUCCCCGCCGGACUA
rnacentral:tRNA from 1 species